AAACUUGUUUUGCUUCUUGUGGGUUUGGUCAGCAUCAGAUACUUGUUCAAGCACUGCAGAAUUUAGCUGCUAGAUUGAUUCUGCCAGAAGAGGAAUCUUGGGACAUUGAUGUCAUGGUGAAAAUUGAUGUUGUGGUGAAUUUUUGUGUGGCAAAAGCACAGAAUUGGUACUUCAGACUCUGAAGAGGCACUGGUAAUAAAAGGAGUCAGGAAGAUAACACAGGGAAGUAGAAUACAUAUUAAGUACAGCUUGGCUGGACAAAGUACCCGAUUAAAGCAGACGAUUAAGUAGUAUUUAAAAAGGGUGUUUUCUCACCACAUUACGUAGCCCAAACUGUGCGUGAAUCUGUAAUCCAGUGAUCUGCUUUAAACAUAUCUCAAGAAACUGCAAAACUCUGUGUAACUAGAGCUGAGUAGCAUUUACUGUGAGGUCUGUGGAUCCUCCUGGGAGAAAGAAAAGAUGGGUUCCUCUGAAACUGAAAAGACGGAGCAAAGGCUCCCUAUGAUUCAAGAUGCAGCUAAGAACAGGAAAAGUAAUGGAAAUACCAAACAAGCAAGAGUUAAGCAACAACAACAACAACAACAACAACAACAACAACAACAACAUGAAGAAAGAGUCUCUCUGAAACUGAGCCAUUCUCUAUAUGGGUUCUACAGUAAU